rnacentral:sRNA from 1 species
CCAGGCCAGCCUACCGGCGACUAGGAUGCUUUCGCUUUCGCUCUCGCUUUCCAAUACUCGGGACUGGGGAAACCGGGAGAAUAGAAGCAGGCAAGGACCGCCGUGGGCAUGGGGUGUCCCCAGCGCAGCCAAUCGGCUUCCGAAGUAGGUGAGUUGCUGCCUGAAGAGAAAAGACAAACUCCAGUAUCUUUCAUUCCAUUGGCCAGACGCGCCAUUCCCCAAGUGAGUUCUGUUCUCCAACCAAAGUGCUGGAUUCCAAGGGACUGGAAGGGAAAGUCCCUAAAAAUCACGAGUUCAGGCGUCUGAGACUUGGUGGGAACGGACCUUCCUCUUAGUGCCCAAGCCUGUUCUAAUUUUUAAAAACUGAUGUCUAUUAAGACCCAAUGUUAACUUUAUGAAAAUGGUUCCUAAGGAGAGUGACAUCUCUGUGUCCGAAUUCUGUGUGCAGCAAACAUCAUCUCAAGUGCGUUUUCCCAACUACGCUUCUUUCCAGGAUAAAAUACUCUAAGUGACAAAUGUUGAGUACAUUAUCAGGU